AGGGUCAUGAAGUCCCUGGUUGUGUCUACCCGGCUUGCCUGUGACUGUACCAGACGCAUGAAGAAAGUCUCCAUUAAGUAUCUUGGAAAUGUCAUGAAAAGGGACACUGUAGUGUCUACUAUUGAGCCUUGCCAGGAGUUUCCUACAUUUUUUUGUGCACAGAAGAUGUGAAAGGAGGACAAAUACCUGAACUUACCUUUGCUGUGACUCCACGGAUCCAACUGGCAAGUGAUUGUGAAGUCAGAAUAAAGUAGAUGUCUAGCAAAUUACAUAAUAAAAUGGCUCCUGCCUUGUCUGGUUGAA